GGCUUCCGUCUGGUCCUGAACUGGACGCAAACAGGCCGAGCAUUUAGAAACCCGCGCAGCUCCCCGCACCGAGAGGCUUCCUCUCGCCUGGCUCCUUCGAAGCGUGGUCUGGACCAGCACCUCCCACAGCACUGGGGGCGCCUUGGAAACGCGGCCUUGGACCUAUUUCCGCGGGGGCAGGCGGCGAUCGGUGGCCCUGGUCCUCGCAAGGCCCCUCACCACCCAGAACUGAAUCUCUGGCGGGCCCUGCUGUGCGGUCAGCAGACGCCCAGGUGCAGGGGCGGUGGCCGGCGUCGCGGUGGAGCUCGUUAAAGUACCGGCACGCUGGCCGCGCCCACGCCACGGGCGGGAGGGGACGGUGAGUGCAGGGACCCAGGCGACCGGCCGGCCGGCGUCCCCGCGCCUCCUGGCGGCCAGAAGCAGGGCCUGCGCUUCCCC
rnacentral:lncRNA from 1 species